GAGCCUGACACCACAAUCACCGCCUUCUUUUAAGGGGGAUGGGCUGGAAGCUAAGCUAGGAGAUAAUUAUAACUCCAUCCAUUAAGCACUUACUAUGUGCCAGACACGUAACAUCCAGCACUUCAAUUGGCUCUCCAAGCAGCCUUGUGGGGUCAGCACUCUUCUUGCUAGAGGGGCUAAAUGACCUGUCGAAGGAACCUGAUAAGGUCACUGUCUGAACCCGACUCCAGGACUCCAAGUAGAGACUUAAGUGUGAGAGUAGACAUCAAGUGUUCUCUGGGUGUUUUCUUCAAGGAGAUUAUCCAUUUUAAGUGUGUAUCUUCCAAUGAGGCUGGCAAUAUGGUGUGACAGAGGUCAACCUGGAAAGAGAAGAAAUUGGGUGUCUACUGAGAUCGUGUGGCAAGAGUGACUGUCUACUGCUCCUCUGCUGGGAGGAAAUGCCAGGUCUCAGGGUUUCCCCCAGAGUGCACCAGGGUACUUCCUGAGUUGGUGACACCCCUCCAUGUGGAAAGAAGAGCAAACCAAAUGACAGAGACAGAGUGAGGCAGUGUUGCCAUCCAGAACAGAAGGAGAGGUCCCCUCCUUUCUCCAUUUGUGCCCAACAACUGUGUCUGAGGACUAACAGGUGUCAGACACAUUGGAGGCUCCGGAGAUACAGCUGUGACAAGGCGGACACAGGGCCCCAUGCCUUCAGACUCACAUUCUGUAGGGACAGGACGCCAAGAAACAGGCUCACACAGAAACCACAAAGAUUGGCAGCCACCACCAGAAGUCAGCAAGAGGCAAGGAGAUACUUGCUGGAGUUUGAGAGAAGAAUAUGGCCCAGCUGAUACCUUGACUUGAGGCUUCUGACCUCCAGAAAUGGGAGCGAACGUUUCUGUUGUUUUCAGGCACCCGUGUUUGUAACAGCCAUAUGACACAGCUUUGUCUUUGGAUCUACAAGAGACUAAAGUCUUUCAAAUGGAACCAAAUAAACUAAAUAAUUGAUUUUAACUGGG
rnacentral:lncRNA from 1 species